UUUGCAAUGAGAGAAGUUCACAGAGCCAUUGCAUGAUUAUCCUGGAUGUCCCAUCUGUGGGAGGAAGAUUAAUGCUUGUGGACAUGGCUGGAUCUGAAAACAUAGAAGCUGCAGGACAAACAGGAUUUGAAGCCAAAAUGCAG